rnacentral:siRNA from 1 species
GAUCUGAUUGGUAACCAAAA